CUUAACUAGCUAAAGUGUAAAAAUGAAAACGAGCAAGACGCGCGAGAAACACCGGGGACACUAAGACGGCUAAAUUUUCUCAUUCAAAAUCUAAACAGAAUGCAAAAGGAAAAAGAAAAACGAUAGUGAUGUCUUCACUUCUUUUUUUUUAUAACUAAAAUGACGUGUUCACUUUCAAGAGUUUAUAAACUAUAUAUACAUUUUUUCAACUAAUUGCAAGAGUAGACUUAGACUAGUAUUACCGAUCAUUAUUUGAUUUAGUGGCGAUUGAUACCGUAUUUGAUAGGGACAAUCACAAUUUGACCCUUUAUAACUGUGAUCGGGAGAGAACUAAAGUCACUUGAUGUUAGAACUUACUCUCCGAAUUUUGUAGCCCGAAUACCGGUGAUGAAAAAAACCAAAAAACUAGUACUAGUAUUAGAGACAAAAAAAAAUAACAACCAAAAAAGAAAUAGAAACUAUGGUACAUAUACUAAAGAGUUAUUUCCUUGCACCAUAGCUAGAAUAUCAUCAUUGAAAUGGAACACUUCAUUCCAUGUCAGCAUAUUUCCAAAAAAGGGCCCCACCCUUGUUGGACUCAUCAAUGGAGCAUCUUUCACAUCCCAAAACGACGUCGUAGNNN
rnacentral:lncRNA from 1 species